UACAGAGGUCUCAAGCGUUGUUCGGAUUCAUUGGGCGUAAAGGGUGCGUAAGUGGCGCUGUAAGUCGGGUGUGAAAUUUCGGAGCUUAACUCCGAAACUGCAUUCGAUACUGCGGUGCUUGAGGACUGGAGAGGAGACUGGAAUUCAUGGUGUAGCAGUGAAAUGCGUAGAGAUCAUGAGGAAGACCAGUGGCGAAGGCGGGUCUCUGGGCCGUAACUGACGCUGAGGAGCGAAAGCGUGGGGGAGCGAACAGG
rnacentral:rRNA from 1 species